GACAGAGGCCUCGAGCGUUAGGCGGAAUCACUGGGCUUAAAGCGCGUGUAGGCGGGCCCGUAAGUGUCUUGUGAAAUCCCACGGCUCAACCGUGGAACUGCUGGGCAUACUGCGGGUCUUGGGCCAACUAGGGGCAGCCGGAACAAGCGGUGGAGCGGUGAAAUGCGUAGAUAUCGCGUGGAACGCCGAAGGUGAAAACAGGCUGCUGGGGUUGCGCCGACGCUGAGACACGAAAGCCAGGGGAGCAAACGGG
rnacentral:rRNA from 1 species